rnacentral:rRNA from 1 species
UACGGAGGGGGCUAGCGUUGUUCGGAAUUACUGGGCGUAAAGCGCACGUAGGCGGAUAUUUAAGUCAGGGGUGAAAUCCCAGAGCUCAACUCUGGAACUGCCUUUGAUACUGGGUAUCUUGAGUAUGGAAGAGGUAAGUGGAAUUGCGAGUGUAGAGGUGAAAUUCGUAGAUAUUCGCAGGAACACCAGUGGCGAAGGCGGCUUACUGGUCCAUAACUGACGCUGAGGUGGCGAAAGCGUGGGGAG